GUGCUUGCUUCGGUAGUACAUAUACUAAAAUUGAAAUGAUACAGAGAUUAGCACAGAUCCCGUGCAAGGAUGACAUGCAAAUUCAUGAUGUACUCUAUAUUUUU
rnacentral:snRNA from 1 species